ensembl:lncRNA
UGCUUACCUCACUGAGAAUAGGCUUAAUAGGAUGUGUUGCUUUUCCAGUUUUAGUCUCAGCAUUCUCUGCUUCAGAUUCCUCCAUUCCUCAGGCACCACCCUGAUUCAUAAUCUCAGGAAAGGAGAUAAUAAUGAUCUUGCAGACCUGCAUGAUGACUGACUUUGCUGUGGAUUUUCCAGCCCAAUUGAUUGCCCACCUUCUGAGCAAUUGAACACCUUCGUAUCCACAAAGUAAAUGUAUGCAGACAUUACAGAGAAGAGUACAUUGACAGAGAAAGGUGCACAAAAGCUGGGCAGAUAAUCAAAAGCAGAGACAAUAGGCAGAACCUGGACAGAACUUGCUUAGGGUUUACAUAAAGAGCGUUUUCUGUUUUUCUGUGUAAAAUUCAAUAUGUGGAACUU